rnacentral:rRNA from 1 species
CCUACGGGAGGCAGCAGUGAGGAAUAUUGGUCAAUGGGCGCUAGCCUGAACCAGCCAAGUAGCGUGAAGGAUGACUGCCCUAUGGGUUGUAAACUUCUUUUAUAUGGGAAUAAAGUGCAGUAUGUAUACUGCUUUGCAUGUACCUUAUGAAUAAGGAUCGGCUAACUCCGUUCCAGCAGCCGCGGUAAUACGGAGGGUGCGAGCGUUAAUCGGAAUUACUGGGCGUAAAGCGCACGUAGGCUGUAUGUCAAGUCAAGGGUGAAAUCCCACGGCUCAACCGUGGAACUGCCUUUGAAACUGGCAAACUGGAGUAUGUGAGAGGGCGGCGGAAUUCCUGGUGUAGGAGUGAAAUCCGUAGAUAUCAGGAGGAACAUCAGUGGCGAAGGCGGCCGCCUGGCACAAAACUGACGCUGAGGUGCGAAAGCGUGGGUAGCAAACAGGAUUAGAUACCCCAGUAGUC